rnacentral:lncRNA from 1 species
UUCACAAAAAAAUUGUUUAGGUCAUCAUAAUAUAAUUAUACCUUGAAUAAUAAUAGGAAAUGUCAAACUCCUGAAGGAAAAUAGUAGUUUUUUUUCAAUUCUAAACUAAGAUUUUAUUAUAAGUAUUUAGGUCCUGGAUGGCAGAAUUUGUUGUCUUGGUUAGUUCUAUUUGCCUCUUAUCAGAAUCUCAAAUACAUAUUUUUUCCUGCCUGAAAUGCUUAGGCCAUAGUGCUGAGGAGGAAAAUGCUGGAAGAGAUGAGAAGAAGAAUUUGGUCAGGAGAUGGAGAUUGUGCAGAAACUCCAACUCCACCAAGAAGAAAACAGAAGUAUAAAAAAUGGAAAUCUCUGCCGAUCCAUACAAAGGCCACAUAAGGACCAAUGCUUCUGACCAGGUCGAUGACCCGCACCUUUGGCUCAGCACUGACUGGCUCCUGGCUCAUCAAUACAAUCUGAUUUCCCUGGGAUCAGCUUGCCCUUGGAGGGACCACUGGGCAUUUCCAAGCAAAGGACCACUGCCUUUUCACUCUGGGCCACCAAACCAGACCCCGGCAGAGGCUCCCUCAUCAUCUCCACCCUCCGAGAGGUUGGGGGAAGGAUUGGGAAGCUCUCUAACCAAGUGUCAUCAAAUGGGAUGCCUUGAUGAGGCAGUCUCAACCAUCCUGGUUUGCAGUCCUCUCCCAUUCAUAUACGGCACUGGGUUCAAGCCCGAGGUUCCCGAGAGAGGUGGCUAG